rnacentral:rRNA from 1 species
AACGAACGCUGGCGGCAGGCCUAACACAUGCGAGUCGAGCGAGGACUUCGGUCCUGGCGGCGGACGGGUGAGUAACGCGUGGGAACGUGCCCUUUGCUUCGGAAUAGCCCUGGGAAACUAGGAGUAAUACCGGAUGAGCCCUUUGGGGGAAAGAUUUAUCGGCGAAGGAUCGGCCCGCGUUGGAUUAGGUAGUUGGUGGGGUAAUGGCCUACCAAGCCGACGAUCCAUAGCUGGUUUGAGAGGAUGAUCAGCCACACUGGGACUGAGACACGGCCCAGACUCCUACGGGAGGCAGCAGUGGGGAAUCUUAGACAAUGGGGGAAACCCUGAUCUAGCCAUGCCGCGUGAGCGAUGAAGGCCUUAGGGUUGUAAAGCUCUUUCAGCUGGGAAGAUAAUGACGGUACCAGCAGAAGAAGCCCCGGCUAACUCCGUG